UCGGCUCGGGGGCUGGCGCAUAGAUGACGUGUAAGAUUUUGAUUGGUCCAGACCAUUAGACCACUGUCACGUGACACGGGGAAUUACACAGACACUUCCGCCAUAACAAUAAACGGAUUCUUCCCGAGUAAAAAAACGAGGAGGCCCGAACAAAUACGUUAAGAAUCAUAAAAGGAGAAGGAAUAUUUGCCAUCAGCUGCAAAAACCUUGACAACGAAAUAAUCCGAUGGAGAGGAAUCAUCACAGGAUAAUGAUCGUUAUUUUAGUAGAGAGAAAUCAGGCUGUGAUCAUCCUGAACCUGUCACACAAGCGAUCCAGCAUCAGCGACAGUGCGACUUGACUCCUUCAUCCUGUUCCUGUGGACUCUCUUGACAACCAGCUUUCAUCAUUGACCAAGCAUGGUCUUCCUAUUUCUCACCUGCUAUGGGGCUUCGGAGCUUCCAGAAGAUCCGUUUGAAAUCCUCCAGGUCGUUCCAGGAUUUCCCAAACCUGAUGGUGAGUUUCUUCAGAGACAACUCCAGCAAACUGAAGACAAAAAAAUGACGUAAUUUUUCCAGUCUAAAAUAAACUCUUUGCUAGUGAUGUUUAAAGAAGAAAAAGAUCAAUCAAGUUAAAAUAUAUAUUUAUUUCAACAGUGGUUUGACUGAAAAUUAUAAAUUAAAACAAAAAUGCGUCCCCUACUCCUCUAAUUGUAGGGACAUUUGAAGCUGUAGUGGUUGUCUGGCUGUCCCUUUUCCGAUAGAGUGACCCGCGUCAUGCUUGUAGCGUUGUGGAGAAACACAUUUGUUCAAGUAUUAGUGCUCUGAAGCACAAACAUUUACAUUUAGAUGUACGUUUUUGUUUUAUUAUGACUUUUUAAAGUUAUAAAACCGAUAUUGUUAUGUAUUUUCCGAGCGCAGGGAGCCACACACUAACAUAGAGAACCGUCAACUAUUGAUGACAUCAUUGAGAGUUAGUAACAUUCGAAUUUGAAGAAUAAAUCUAUGUCCAAAUUCCCUACUCACUCUUUAGAGUGUUCUAGUGCUGUCUGAAUCUACUAAUUCCAAAAUCGAGUGCGCUAGAAAUUUCCCAGAAGUCUUUGCGAAAAAUUAGUGAGCACCAAUGCUCACUGGAUUAGCGAAUAUAGACCAUGGUCGAACAAUUUCAAACAAAAAAAUGUGUUUAAGUGUAUUUUUUUAAUGAACCAGCCCCAUUUUCACCAUCAUAACACAGCGGAGUCAUAAAUAAACGUUGUGAAAUGUUCAUAUUAAUUCGAUUUUGACUUUGUGAAAUUGCUGACAUCAUAUCAGAAUUGCCUUCAAACUACUAUAUAGUCCUGCACUAUAUAGUUUUUUAGUAGUUAGGGGUUAGGGAGGGAAUUCAGACACAACCUCACUCUCUGUUUGGAGGGAUAACUGUAGGGGUAGGGGAAGAAUUUGGCCCAUGACUCUAAUAAACUCAGAGGUAGGUCUAAUGUGAUUUUUAAAAUGGGAAAUUAUAUCAGAAUAACCCAAAAUUGUGGGCUAAAAUAAACCAGCAAGUAGUUGGUCCCUUUUAACUCUCAAGCUGGGUUAUAAAUAACCAAAUUGGGUAGUUUUGGUGUGGUGUAUGCAAAAGUAUAAGUGUGUGUUUAGGCUUACGCGUAGUGCAGAGAAUGCUCAAAAUCGCUCCUCUUCUCAUUCUCAAAUCGAGCGUCUUGCGGUAGAUCUGCCUCCGUUUUGGCAUCAAUGCAUCUGGGAAUCCCUGGAGCCCAAGUGAUCCACCUGACACACAAACACAAACAGGGUGACAAACACACACACACACACUGACCAGAAUCCACAUGGACUGGCUGAACCUGUAGGUCUUCCGCCGCUCCUGCAGCUCGGUCUUCCUGUGUUCCAGCAGCUUUGGAGAGCUGUCGUCCAUCACUGUUGUUGCUAUGGAGACGGAGCGUUUUCAGUGGGGCAGACCCAUCACGGUAAAGGACACGAGAAACAUAUUAAAUGAUAAAACAACAUCAAACAAAGACGUCAUUCAAAUGUGAUAGUCUUGAGGUUGAGUUAUAGCAACUGGACUUAAACAUUUUUUUCCUUUGAAACAUUUCAAAGGAUAAAAGAU